rnacentral:lncRNA from 10 species
UGCAACUGACUCAGAUUCAGUAAAGUGUCUAUUUCUAGAUUAAAUAAGGGUAGCAGGUGGGCGGGAUCAUGUUAAGCUCAUGGAGCAGCUUUCUUGUGGGCAAUGGAAGGCUCUGUCGUAGCGAUCAAUUCUUCUGUUUACUACUACUCGGCAAAUAGGGACACUAUUUUACUUAGUGUACAUAGGCAAAUAUCAAGGGUGUGUGUGUGUGUGUGUGUGUUGUAAAAUGGAAGUAACUAAAAGGAAAACAUUUUAGAUAUAUGUUAUUAUAAAAUAAGAUAAAUUCCCAUGCAUUUGGGAUGAUUUAAACAUGUUUCUUUAUAAAAUCAAGAAGAUUAGCUGAUUUAUAUGAUUUGCUUCAAUAUACUGGGCUUGCAACUGGAGAAGGCCUGCUUUCCAAGAAAAAAAUUGUCUCAAUCCUAUACCAUCAUAACUGACAGCUCCACAACAGUGGUAGAGCCCAUUCAUUCCAAGGAGGACUCAGAUGCUAGUGAUCUUCAUCCUGUCUGCCACUUGUGAGGAUGAAAACUGGAGUCUGCUGAGUCUGCUUUCUAGAUAUGAGUAGACCGAAUGAAGACAUCCUGGCACUGGUAUGUCUCAUCUACCUUAUCAAAUCGAAGAACAGUGGGACGAUUUUGGUUGUAGAUUGUACUCUGUAUUAACUAUCCAAAUAAGACAUUUCCUUGGGUUGUCAUCCUAUAUGCAGUUUUCUCUUUUUGUGUUUGUGUUUGUCAGAGUUCUCCAGAGAGACAGAACCAACAUAAAGGAUAAAUUAUAGAUAGAUAGAUAGAUAGAUAGAUAGAUAGAUAGAUAGAUAGAUGAGAUGGGACUUAUUAGGUGAAUUGGCUCACAUGGUUAUGGAGGCUGAGAAGGCCCCUGAUAGGCUGUCAGCAAGCAGAAGAACCUGGAACCCAGCAGCAUGGCUGAUCAAGCCUGAAAGUUUCAGGAUCAGCUAAAACAAAUUUGCCUUUCUCCUGACUUUUUGUUCUCUCCAUGCCCUCCUAUAUUAAGAGUGGAACUUGGCCAUUCAGUCCACCAACUCACACACCAAUCUUCUGCUGAAACAUCCUCACAAACACAUCCAGAAAUAAUGCUUUACCAACUCUCUAGGUAUCACUUAAUUUAGUCAAGUUCAGAUAAGAAUAAACUGCAUGAGAAGGAGUAGUUCUAAAAAAAAUGAUUGUUACUUAAAGUAUAAUAAAAAAAGAAAAAAAUGGAAAAUAUGAGCUAACUUAGAAUGCAUCAAGUUUUGACAGAUUUUGGGUGUGUAUGCAAUUUUUUAACAAAGUUUUAUAAUAGCAUAACAUGACAUUUUUCAAUUCCUGUUUGACAAUAUGACUAUAAAGAAAAUCGUUCUUAAAAAAAUGAGUGUUAAUAGUUCUGGUAAACAAAGCAACAACAAAAACAAACUAUAAGAUC